rnacentral:rRNA from 1 species
GAUGAACGCUGGCGGCGUGCCUAAUACAUGCAAGUCGAGCGAACGGACGAGAAGCUUGCUUCUCUGAUGUUAGCGGCGGACGGGUGAGUAACACGUGGAUAACCUACCUAUAAGACUGGGAUAACUUCGGGAAACCGGAGCUAAUACCGGAUAAUAUUUUGAACCGCAUGGUUCAAAAGUGAAAGACGGUCUUGCUGUCACUUAUGGAUGGAUCCGCGCUGCAUUAGCUAGUUGGUAAGGUAACGGCUUACCAAGGCAACGAUGCAUAGCCGACCUGAGAGGGUGAUCGGCCACACUGGAACUGAGACACGGUCCAGACUCCUACGGGAGGCAGCAGUAGGGAAUCUUCCGCAAUGGGCGAAAGCCUGACGGAGCAACGCCGCGUGAGUGAUGAAGGUCUUCGGAUCGUAAAACUCUGUUAUUAGGGAAGAACAUAUGUGUAAGUAGCUGUGCACAUCUUGACGGUACCUAAUCAGAAAGCCACGGCUAACUACGUG